rnacentral:rRNA from 1 species
UAGAAUGAACCGGCGAGUUACGAUUUGAUGCAAGGUUAAGCAGUAAAUGUGGAGCCGUAGCGAAAGCGAGUCUGAAUAGGGCGUUUAGUAUUUGGUCGUAGACCCGAAACCAGGUGAUCUACCCUUGGUCAGGUUGAAGUUCAGGUAACACUGAAUGGAGGACCGAACCGACUUACGUUGAAAAGUGAGCGGAUGAACUGAGGGUAGCGGAGAAAUUCCAAUCGAACCUGGAGAUAGCUGGUUCUCUCCGAAAUAGCUUUAGGGCUAGCCUCAAGUGAUGAUUAUUGGAGGUAGAGCACUGUUUGGACGAGGGGCCCCUCUCGGGUUACCGAAUUCAGACAAACUCCGAAUGCCAAUUAAUUUAACUUGGGAGUCAGAACAUGGGUGAUAAGGUCCGUGUUCGAAAGGGAAACAGCCCAGACCACCAGCUAAGGUCCCAAAAUAUAUGUUAAGUGGAAAAGGAUGUGGCGUUGCCCAGACAACUAGGAUGUUGGCUUAGAAGCAGCCAUCAUUUAAAGAGUGCGUAAUAGCUCACUAGUCGAGUGACACUGCGCCGAAAAUGUACCGGGGCUAAACAUAUUACCGAAGCUGUGGAUUGUCCUUUGGACAAUGGUAGGAGAGCGUUCUAAGGGCGUUGAAGCAUGAUCGUAAGGACAUGUGGAGCGCUUAGAAGUGAGAAUGCCGGUGUGAGUAGCGAAAGACGGGUGAGAAUCCCGUCCACCGAUUGACUAAGGUUUCCAGAGGAAGGCUCGUCCGCUCUGGGUUAGUCGGGUCCUAAGCUGAGGCCGACAGGCGUAGGCGAUGGAUAACAGGUUGAUAUUCCUGUACCACCUAUAAUCGUUUUAAUCGAUGGGGGGACGCAGUAGGAUAGGCGAAGCGUGCGAUUGGAUUGCACGUCUAAGCAGUAAGGCUGAGUAUUAGGCAAAUCCGGUACUCGUUAAGGCUGAGCUGUGAUGGGGAGAAGACAUUGUGUCUUCGAGUCGUUGAUUUCACACUGCCGAGAAAAGCCUCUAGAUAGAAAAUAGGUGCCCGUACCGCAAACCGACACAGGUAGUCAAGAUGAGAAUUCUAAGGUGAGCGAGCGAACUCUCGUUAAGGAACUCGGCAAAAUGACCCCGUAACUUCGGGAGAAGGGGUGCUCUUUAGGGUUAACGCCCAGAAGAGCCGCAGUGAAUAGGCCCAAGCGACUGUUUAUCAAAAACACAGGUCUCUGCUAA